rnacentral:pre_miRNA from 1 species
UAUAAUUUUUUACUCUUCGUCUUAUUUAAAUUUUUUUGUGAUUGAUAUUUUUGUUUUUAUUAAAUAAUAAAUCAUAAAUAGUACUUUACGUGUGACUAAUUUUUUAAAAUUUUUUCAGAUAAGACGGAUGAUUAAACGUUGGACACGGAAA